rnacentral:rRNA from 1 species
UACGAAGGGGGCGAGCGUUGUUCGGAUUUACUGGGCGUAAAGGGCGCGCAGGCGGCUCAUUUUGUCAGGCGUGAAAGCCCCGGGCUUAACCUGGGAACUGCGUUUGAUACGGAUGGGCUAGAGUUCGGGAGAGGAGAGUGGAAUUCCCAGUGUAGAGGUGAAAUUCGUAGAUAUUGGGAAGAACACCGGUGGCGAAGGCGGCCCGCUGGGCUGUUGCUGACGCUGAGGCGCGACAGCGUGGGGAGCAAACAGG